rnacentral:rRNA from 1 species
ACGCUCGACACCUACGGAAGGCAGCAGUGGGGAAUAUUGGGCAAUGGGCGCAAGCCUGACCCAGCAACGCCGCGUGAAGGAAGAAGGCUUUCGGGUUGUAAACUUCUUUUAUUAAGGACGAAGCAAUGACGGUACUUAAUGAAUAAGCUCCGGCUAACUACGUGCCAACAGCCGCGGUAAUCUGAGCGGGCUGGCAAGGC